GAUGAAGAACGCAGCGAAAUGCGAUAAGUAAUGUGAAUUGCAGAAUUCAGUGAAUCAUCGAAUCUUUGAACGCACCUUGCACCCUUUGGCAUUCCGAAGGGUAUGCUCGUUUGAGUGUCAUUGUACUCUCACACUUCCAAUUCUUUGGAUUGGGAGCGGUGGACUUGGGUGCUGCUGCUUACCGUGGCUCACCUCAAAUGUGUUAGUACAACCGUUGGUUAGACAUAGUACAGCGUGAUAAGUAUCUUCGCUGGCGCCUCACUCGAGGGUGGCUGAUCAGGGCUCUGUGCUCCAAAUCGUCUUCGGACAAUCACUGACAACUUGGCCUCAAAUCGAGUAGGACUACCCGCUGAACUUAAGCAUAUCAAUAAGCGGAGGA
rnacentral:misc_RNA from 1 species